rnacentral:rRNA from 1 species
GAUGAACGCUGGCGGCGUGCCUAAUACAUGCAAGUCGAGCGGCAGCACGGUCUUCGGACUGGUGGCGAGCGGCGGACGGCUGAGUAACGCGUAGGAAUAUACCCCAAAGUGAGGGAUAACUGCCCGAAAGGGUGGCUAAUACCGCAUGUGGUCUUCGGACUAAAGCCUUCGGGCGCUUUGGGAAUAGCCUGCGUAAGAUUAGCUAGUUGGUGAGGUAAUGGCCCACCAAGGCGACGAUCUUUAGCUGGUCUGAGAGGAUGACCAGCCAGACUGGAACUGAGACACGGUCCAGACUCCUACGGGAGGCAGCAGUAGGGAAUUUUCCACAAUGGGCGAAAGCCUGAUGGAGCAACGCCGCGUGCAGGAUGAAGGCCCUCGGGUCGUAAACUGCUUUUAUGUGCGAAGAAUAUGACGGUAACACAUGAAUAAGGGUCGGCUAACUACGUGCCAGCAGCCGCGGUAAU